UCUUUUUUAAUUAUACAUAUACACAUGAAGACUUCGUGUGUACACUUCACAACUCUUCUAACAGCCUGACAACACUGUGAAUUCGCCGGAAAUCCGGAAUCGCUUAUGUAUCAGCCGUAACUCUGUUUCACAGCAACCAAAACAUCUGGUUUCUGAUUCAGUUCCAAUUGUGAUGUCCAUGGAUAAAGACGCCACCCAUUUGUCCCGCACAUUCAAAUAUCUUUUAGAUGUAUGCUGUGCAGUUUCAUCUAUUUGUCACAUGUAUUUUAUUUCUUAGCCGGGAGGGUUUCCGAUGAGCAUGCAUGCGGAUGGAUAUAAAACGUGAUGGUAUUUAAAUGGAAGAAGAUGUCGUGAAGCUAAUGAAAGUAGCAUGGAUGAGUGUCCCGCUUGGCAUAUUUGUUACCAUUGUAGCAUGCCUUUUUGUCUUCUGGUGGCAACAAAUAAGUUAUUUUAGUCCUUAUGGGCACGCUGUCUUGGUCAAUGGUUGUGGGUGCAUUUUGGAGCUGUUGGCCGAGCCUUUGUAUAUUCUUUCCCAGAACUUGGUCUUGCUUGAAUUACGGUUGAUGGUUGAGACAGUAGCUACAUUCUCACGGUGCAUGACAAUGUACUUUUUAAUUGUCAAGCUAACUGGAAUGGUAAGAGCUUAGCUACUGAGCAUAUAUUUUAGUCUUUACUUUCCUUAUCAUUAAGCAGACAGUAAAUGCGUUUUCUACUAUUCUUGUGACAUACCAAUGACAGGUUAGUUAUUGGACAUGACAAGAGAACUUCAUGUCGCAUUUAAAAAAAAAAAAAAUCAUAUUUGUUUCAUUUUCCUAUCCUGCAUUUUAUAAGUACUUGUUUAUCAAAGUGCAUUGGAUUUUUAUGUACUUAUAAUCCAGAGUUUACACAAUAGUGUGGUGGACUUGGUAAUCUCCAAGUAACAACUGAUUUCGGCGGUGAAUGAUAAU